rnacentral:rRNA from 1 species
GGUGCAUGGUUGUCGUCAGCUCGUGUCGUGAGAUGUUGGGUUAAGUCCCGCAACGAGCGCAACCCCUAUUGUUAGUUGCCAUCAUUCAGUUGGGCACCCUAGCGAGACUGCCGGUAAUAAACCGGAGGAAGGUGGGGAUGACGUCAAAUCAUCAUGCCCCUUAUGACCUGGGCUACACGCGUGCUACAAUGGUUGGUACAACGAGUUGCGAGUCGGUGACGGCGAGCUAAUCUCUUAAAGCCAAUCUCAGUUCGGAUUGUAGGCUGCAACUCGCCUACAUGAAGUCGGAAUCGCUAGUAAUCGCGGAUCAGCACGCCGCGGUGAAUACGUUCCCGGGCCUU